GGUGAACGCUGGCGGUAGGCCUAACACAUGCAAGUCGAACGGCAGCACAGGAGAGCUUGCUCUCUGGGUGGCGAGUGGCGGACGGGUGAGGAAUACAUCGGAAUCUACUUUUUCGUGGGGGAUAACGUAGGGAAACUUACGCUAAUACCGCAUCCGACCUACGGGUGAAAGCAGGGGAUCUUCGGACCUUGCGCGAUUGACUGACCCGAUGUCGGAUUAGCUAGUUGGCGGGGUCAAGGCCCACCAAGGCUGCGAUCCGUAGCUGGUCUGAGAGGAUGAUCAGCCACACUGGAACUGAGACACGGUCCAGACUCCUACGGGAGGCAGCAGUGGGGAAUAUUGGACAAUGGGCGCAAGCCUGAUCCAGCCAUACCGCGUGGGUGAAGAAGGCCUUCGGGUUGUAAAGCCCUUUUGUUGGGAAAGAAAUCCAGCUGGUUAAUACCCGGUUGGGAUGACGGUACCCAAAGAAUAAGCACCGGCUAACUUCUUGCCAGCAGCCGCCGUAA
rnacentral:rRNA from 1 species